CGAGCAGGUCACGAAGCAGAUACAGACGGCAGGGGUUAGGAACAAGAGGCUAUAUGAUCGGACGGCCCGAGAUGCUCCUCUACUCCCCGGAGAAAGGGUCCUCGUACGAGAUAACCGGCGGCAAGGAAAAGGGAAGUUGAGCGCUCGAUGGGAAACCACCCCGUACGUAGUCCAAAGCCAGCAGCGACCUGGGCAACCUGUGUACACGAUCCGGCCGGAAGGGAAGCCCGGGCCGGACCGCGUGGUCCAUCGUAAUAUGAUCCGCCCUUGUCCGAACUAUCCUAGCCCCGUGGAAGAGGCUCCAAAGGAGCCAGCACCAGUAGCCCCCUGGAUCGGAGGAUGGGCUGUGGUCCCAAGAGGCCCAGUGGAUGCACCCGCUUUGGCCGCUCCAAGAGGACCUGAGAACAUGCCAGCCAGAGUCGACCCUGCCUCGCCCCCUCGGCGGUCCCAGCGAGAGAACCGAGGUCGGCCCCCUAUACGUUAUGGUGAAUAGACUGUGAGAAGGUGUUCUAGGGACUAGAACAGAUUGGCGGGGGAGGAUGUCACACUGUGACUUUUUGGGGGCGGAACCAAAAGUGGCGAAGGUUGGUUCCGCCCGAAGAUGGUUUCCGCCCGGCCCGUAUAUUACAAACACCGGAACUUCCGGGAAACUCCGGGAGGCAAAUUGGGCUGUACGAGGCACAGGUGAGGACAAUAAACGCGGCGAUCGUGGAUUGGACAAUGGAGAGAACAGGAGGGGUAUAAAAAGAGUCUCAGAAAUUCAAACAGGGUGUUGGAGUUGAAUCGUUUCAGGCCGAUCCGGCGGGCAGUGUAGAGGUUUGGGCAGAGUCAGCAUUGGUGAAGGCAGAGGAACUUCACGGGGUGAAGAAGGAGACAAGGACACUAGUAACUGGGCUGAGUAUACGACAUUUAUUGAUGUUUGAAGAGACCAUCUGUAUAUGAACUACUGAUGUGUUGGAGUCACAGUCAUAGGAAGUACUCACCGGAAGUAACGUCAAGGGUGAUCUCCAGCAACGGAAAACCGAUGGUGUGAAGAGGAUUGGACAGCUAGAAGGAGACAAAGGAAGAGUGUUAUCGUUCAUUUGUGAGUACUUUUGGACAGUUGCAUUGUACAUCAUUGGGGAGAGUGCAUUAUCCAGCGUAUGUUGUGAGCAUCUGGUAAAUAGGCUACCGGCCCCAUUACGGAGCAGAGUUUUGGGUGAGCCGGGAAGUACGAGUACAGGAAGCCGCAAGCAGUCGUGACGGCAACGUUAUUCCUCCGGCCCUUCAUCUAUCAACAACGCCCAACGAAACCCCAGGAUAAGUCCUAAUAAACCGUGGUUCUGACCCUAUUUCACGUAGAGUGUGUGGAGUGCAGUGGGUGAGUCCUUGUCUUUGCUGUGAGUGUGUACACUUGAAAUCUUGCAGUGGUAUGCUGUGGUUGUGUUGUCAGUAGCCACCCUGGACUGGAUGAGUCGUGGGGGAGACCAGUGACCGUUGAGGCUGGUGAAGCGCCAUUUUCAUCUAAAUGCCAUUUUGCGACCCCUGCAUGGAGACCCAAAUGUAACGUCCUGUCUGGAUCCUUUCAGAAUACCCUGGCUCUGUGGAAGCGGUGGUGAAGAAUACACGUAAGCAAGACUGGUGUGAGUAAAAGCCAAAAAUUAUACCUAUAUGCAAGGAGGAAGUUUUACUGUUGCAAAUUAGCUGUGUGGAUUUACUUUACCUGUUGUGGAGCCUCUUCAAAGGUUCACCCCGGUCCAGAUCCCUUAAACUGCAAAUAGAAGAGAGGAGAGGGAAGCGUUCGGGCCGGUGCGACAGUGUUUAACUUUCCCCGACGCACAGGAAAUCCCUGUGGAGGCCUGCGCUACGACGAUUUACUACUCCAGUGCCAUUGGAGUUCUGUGUCGCGGGUUGGCGCUCACCUCGGAGUGUGCAGAAGGGGAGGCGCCGCCCGAGCACCCUGUACGAAGAGAUCGGAGGAACAAGUCAUUUAUCAGCCAGUCGUAUGGACCCAAGUAACAGGUAGCCACUCUCACCGGAUCGAUUACUCAUUGUGUGUUUCACUCUGCCUUCAGGAGAAAAGAAGGGCGCCACGAGUCAACAAAAGCCCAAAGGGACAUACUAACCCUCGCCGCAUAGUCCUCUCCGGCCCCUUUCUCCUCCUGCUGAACAGAGACGAUAAUUUUAAGAUUUACCUCCCCCUCCCUGAAUUAUUUUAAUUAAUUUAAAUAAAGUUGUUUUAAUAUUA